rnacentral:hammerhead_ribozyme from 1 species
AUACUACUGAAGAGUCCCAAACUAGGAUGAAACAGCUGUCCAGUAC